rnacentral:rRNA from 1 species
GAUGAACGCUGGCGGCGUGCCUAAUACAUGCAAGUCGAGCGAAUGGAUUAAGAGCUUGCUCUUAUGAAGUUAGCGGCGGACGGGUGAGUAACACGUGGGUAACCUGCCCAUAAGACUGGGAUAACUCCGGGAAACCGGGGCUAAUACCGGAUAACAUUUUGAACCGCAUGGUUCGAAAUUGAAAGGCGGCUUCGGCUGUCACUUAUGGAUGGACCCGCGUCGCAUUAGCUAGUUGGUGAGGUAACGGCGCACCAAGGCAACGAUGCGUAGCCGACCUGAGAGGGUGAUCGGCCACACUGGGUCUGAGACACGGACCAGACUCCUACGGGAGGGAGCAGUAGGGAAUCUUCCGCAAUGGACGAAAGUCUGACGGAGCAACGCCGCGUGAGUGAUGAAGGCUUUCGGGUCGUAAAACUCUGUUGUUAGGGAAGAACAAGUGCUAGUUGAAUAAGCUGGCACCUUGACGGUACCUAACCAGAAAGCCACGGCUAACUACGUGCCAGCAGCCGCAGUAA